GGGGAUGAAGCUCAGGUGGUAGAGCGCGCGCUUCCCAAGCGCGCUUGUGCGGGUUCGACGCCCGUCAUCCCCU
rnacentral:tRNA from 1 species